CUUUUUUCUUUUUCUUUUUUUAAUUACCAUGUGGAUACCGAAACUCAUUAUGGAAAAAAAAAAAGAAAGAAAGAAAUCAGAGUGUCUGGGCCCCUCACUUAGUGUUGGACACCUUUUUUUCUUAUGGGGAAGGCACUGACACCAUUGCCCCAUGUUCUCUGCCACAUACACUUUGUCAAGAAACAGAGAAGUGACAAACCUCCCUAAAUCUCCAUAUGGAGCCUCUCACAAAAGUUUGUCCCACAGAACUACAAGAGCUCUGUAAAUUAUAUUACUCGUUUAUGAAACACUUAGUGCCUGCCCCUGUGACUUCAUGCUCCAAAAUCCAGCUUUCCCACUGCGUCCCUGUGGUGUCUGUUGCUCUUCUGGCCAAAAGAGGAACUGGAAGAGGACAACUGCAUGUAAAGUUAAUGAAUGUUCCUGGUAACUCUGGAAAACCAUAAUGGAAGUAUCUGCAUACCACUGAGAUGAAGCAACUCCAAACCAUCCCCUGUGAAGAGAAUCUCAAUCCUUUGCUGCUGUCUGGUAGAAAUGAAUGGACAAAAAGAACUUGAACUAUGGGUUUUGAUAAUGAUAGAGGAGGAGCUUUCACCACUAUUCCAGUGUUGGACUGCAUCUGAUGCAGGCUCAUAGAGGCAGGGGAUUGUUAUUAAAGCUGUCUGAAUAAUCUGCAACAAGUAAUUGAAUGGAAGAGCUUAGUCUUUUUUUCUGUUUCUAAAUUAUUUAUGAGCCAGCCCGGAUAUUCUUGAAUGUACUUGUCUGAAGUAAUCCUGCCCAUAAUUUCUGUGAAUGGUCAUUUAUUUUUAGUUUGCCUAUGAGCAUUUAGAUAGUCAAAAUGUUAGUUGUUUGAACUGGACAAACAAUGACAGAUUUCUGUUCCAUGGCUACAUGAGUGUAACUGAGAUUUCCACUGAGAAUAUUCACAGUUACCAGUGAAUAUUCUGUAUUUCUAUGUUUUCUUUCUGUAAACACUUUUAGAAAUUAAUGUGAAUCUUUUUGGCAA
rnacentral:lncRNA from 1 species